AUUGAACGCUGGCGGCAGGCCUAACACAUGCAAGUCGAGCGGUAGAGAGGUGCUUGCAUCUCUUGAGAGCGGCGGACGGGUGAGUAAUGCCUAGGAAUCUGCCUAGUGGUGGGGGAUAACGUUCGGAAACGGACGCUAAUACCGCAUACGUCCUACGGGAGAAAGCGGGGGAUCUUCGGACCUCGCGCCAUUAGAUGAGCCUAGGUCGGAUUAGCUAGUUGGUGAGGUAAUGGCUCACCAAGGCGACGAUCCGUAACUGGUCUGAGAGGAUGAUCAGUCACACUGGAACUGAGACACGGCCCAGACUCCUACGGGAGGCAGCAGUGGGGAAUAUUGGACAAUGGGCGAAAGCCUGAUCCAGCCAUGCCGCGUGUGUGAAGAAGGUCUUCGGAUUGUAAAGCACUUUAAGUUGGGAGGAAGGGUAGUAACCUAAUACGUUGCUACUUUGUACGUUACCGACACGGAAUU
rnacentral:rRNA from 1 species